UACGUAGGGUGCGAGCGUUAAUCGGAAUUACUGGGCGUAAAGCGUGCGCAGGCGGUUCGUUGUGUCGGCGGUGAAAGCCCCCGGGCUUAACCUGGGAAUGGCCGUUGAAACUGGCGAACUGGAGUGUGGCAGAGGGGGGGGUGGAAUUCCGCGUGUAGCAGUGAAAUGCGUAGAGAUGCGGAGGAACACCGAUGGCGAAGGCAGCCCCCCUGGGCUGACACUGACGCUCAGGCACGAAAGCGUGGGGAGCAAACAGG
rnacentral:rRNA from 1 species